rnacentral:rRNA from 1 species
UACAGAGGGUGCAAGCGUUGUUCGGAAUUAUUGGGCGUAAAGCGCGUGUAGGCGGCUUUGCAAGUCGGGUGUGAAAGCCCUCAGCUCAACUGAGGAAGUGCGCCCGAAGCUGCAGAGCUUGAGUACCGGAGAGGAUGGCGGAAUUCCCCAAGUAGAGGUGAAAUUCGUAGAUAUGGGGAGGAACACCGGUGGCGAAGGCGGCCAUCUGGACGGAUACUGACGCUGAGACGCGAAAGCGUGGGUAGCAAACAGG